UUCAAAUUUUUGCAUUAUAUAUUUGGAAGCUCUUUUAAGUCUCAUAUAAUCAUUUGUUUUUAAAUGAAUUGACCCAUUCAGCAUGAUGUUGCCUAAACCACUAAUCCUUAUCCCAUCAUUCCCACUUGGUUAACUGAGUGGACAUCUUUUACCUAAAUAUGAUGCUUGUUCUUAACUCAAGCCCUUGCACUUACUGCUUCUUAUUCCUAAAAUAUUCCCUGGCUCAAAUAUUUCUUGCUUAGAGUAACACUACUCCUUGAUAACCUAGCUAAGGUAGUGUCUGGCCUUGUAUCCAUCUCUAUCUUGUCAAUAUAUUUUAUUUUUCUUAUAGAGAUUACCACUACCUAGAAUUAAUCAUUUUCCUUUGUGUAUUUCCCAGCUAAUUGAUAUUACCCACUACCUGUUUGGUGGAGAUCCAACAUAUAAUGCAACCUAAAUAAUUUGUUAAAUAAAGGAGGUUAACUCCGUCAGUAACAAUUGUGGUCCUUUCAAAUUUUUAAAAAUUUCAGUAUGAUAACUUGAGUAGUAAUGUUCAAAGUGAUGGAUGAAGUAGACAUCUGGUUCUAUCUGAGAAAAUUUUCUAGGCUAAUAUUCAACAUGUGUGGUUACAUCCUUUUGUCAAUGCUUCUGAUGAAGCGUGGUGUGAUUUGGUCUUGCUCUCCAAGGUACACUUUUGACUUAAGUCCUCAUAGAAUAGAAUGGCAAGGGUGCCUGGGUGGCUCAGUGGUAGAGUGCCUGCCUUCAGCUCAAGGCAUGAUCCCGGAGUCUCGGGAUCAAGUCCUGCAUCAGGCUCCCAGUAGGGAGCCUGCUUCUCCCUUUGCCUAUGUCUCUGCCUCUCUCUGUGUGCCUCUCAUGAAUACACAAAUUAAAAGAAAAAAAAAAAAGAAGAGAAUGGCAAGCUUUCUGGUGACUCUUGUUAGGCAUCUCAGUUAUCUCAUGUCAAAGAGGAAUUCCAAUUUUGAAUAUUGGUUAAGGUAUAAUGUCACUGUUUAUGGCAACAUAGAAUAGCUGCAUUCUAACUAUUAGCAAGCCAGCCUUACUAUUUACUCCCAUUACCAAUAAAGUGAAAAGCAUCUUCCAUUGAAGUUUUACUCAGGAAUGUGUGACAUGUCCAUUUUUUCAUCUAUGUUAAAAUGUACCCCCAAAUUAAACCAGGUCAUAACUGGAAUCGUAUGUUGAAACAGUAUAUUGGUUCUCCCUAAAGUGUUUUUACACAUUGCUUCCUAAGCAAGGUUUAUCCAAACUUGCAACUGAGCAAAUGUUAUACACAUGUGGGGUACCUCGGUGGCACAUUCAGGAAGCAUCAGACUCAGUUUUAGCUCAAAUUAUGAUCUCAGGUUGUGAGAUUGAGCCCCCACAGCUCCACACUCAGGGCAGUCUGCUGAAGACUCUCUUUCUCUCUCCCCCAUUCUCCCACCCCUGCUCUCUCUCUAAAAUAAAAAUAAAUUUAAAAAGGUUAUACACAUGCAUGUUUAAACAUAAGAGAAUAACAGAAAAUUUGGUGGAAAAUGGUUUCCAUCAGAUGGUUUUAAAGUUCUGUCCCUAAUGUAAGUUUUUAAAUACACAGAAUCAGUUUCUACUACAACAACAUUGAUUAGUUGUCAACUCAUUAGGGGAAAAAUGUCAGGAUCAUCCCAUCCAUUAUCAAAAUGUGAUUUUACUCCUCUUUUAUUCAGCAUUUCACUAUUAAGGGAGGAAAAGGAGUAAUUCCAACUUUUGUCUUCACUAUAUAAUUUAAUGAUAUAAAAAUAGCAAGCAAAACCUGAAAACUAAGCAAAAUUUUUGCCUCGGACAAAAAGUGAUGUUAUUAUAAGAGCAUAAGAAGCACAUAAACAAAUUUUCUAUCAGAGGAAAAGUUCUAGCAGAAGGUGGCACAUGGUAAUUUAAUGUCAUUGUCCUGUGUAUAUCAAUGCACCAUGGACUUGACUUUUAAACUGUCUUGUUUUUGCAAAACUUCAGUGAAAGGUUAUAAAAAAGUGAGUUAUACCUAUUAACAUGUAUUCAUAACGUAUAUCAUGCUUUCAUGGAAUAAAAAUGCAGGUUAUUAGAAAAAUUUACUCCAUUUACCAUUAACUUAAUUAAUAAAAGCAUAUCUCUUCCCAAACAAACCUGAGUACAAUGUUAUAGGCAUGCAUUCUUUCUGGUUACCAUUAUUUAAAAUAAAUAAAUAAAAUUCCUUAUAUAGCUAAUCAUUUACCUCAUUCACCCCAAAUAUUCAAAGGAAUGAGAGGCAUAUUAAGAAGAGAAAGGCAAUUUUUUUUUUAUUUUUUAAAUUUAAAUUCAAUAACAUACAAUGUAUUAUUGAAUGGUCAAGAUUCAUCAAUCUUAUACAAUACCUACUACUCAUCAUAUCAUCUGUACUUCCUAAUGUCCAUCUCACUGUUAAGCCAUUUUCCCACUCCUACCCUCUAGUGACCCUACGUUUGUUUCCUAGGAUUAACAGUCUCUUAUGGUUUGUCUCCCUCUCUGAUUUCAUCUUGUUUUAUUUUUUCCUCUCUUCCCCUAUGAUCCUCUGUUUUUUUUUUAAAUUAAAUUCCACAAUAUGAUAAUUGUCUUUUUCUGAUUGACUUAUUUCAUUUAGCAUAAUAUCCUAUAGUUUCAUACACAUUGUUGCAAAUGGCAGAUUUCAUUUUUUGAUAGCUGAGUAGUAUUCCAUUGAAUAUAUACACCACAUCUUCUUUAUCCAUUCAUCUGUCAAUGGACAUCUCCACUCCUUCCACAGGUUUGUUGUUGUGGACAUUGCUGCUAUGAACAUCGGGGUGCAGACAUCCUGUCAUUUCAUUACAUCAUUCAUUCAUUAUCUUUGUGGUAAAUAACCAGUAGUACAAUUGCUGGGCCAUAGGUAGCUCUAUUUUCAACUUUUUGAGGAACUUCUAUACUGUCCUCUAGAGGGGCUGCACCAGCUUACCUUCUCAUCAACUGUAAGAGGGUUUCCUUUUCUCUGCAUCCUAGCCAACAUCUAUCAUUUCCUGAUAUGUUCAUUUUAACCAUUCUGACUCAUGUGAGGUGGUAUCUCAUUGUGGUUUUGAUUUGUAUUUCCCAGAUGCCAAGUGAUGUGGAGCAUUUUUUUCAUAUGUCUAUUGGCCAUUUGUAGGUCUUCUUUAGAGAACUGUCUGUUCAUAUCUUCUUCCCAUUUCUUGAUUGGAUUAUUUGUUCUUUGGGUGUUGAGUUUGACAAGUUCUUUAUAGAUUUUGGACACUAGCCCUUUAUCUGAUAAGGCAUUUGCAAAUAUCUUGCCCCAUUCUGUCCAUUGUCUUUUGGUUUUGUCAACUGUUUCCUUUGCUGUGCAAAAGCUUUUUAUCUUGCUUAAGUCCCAAGAGUUCAUUUUUGCCUUUGUUUCCCUUGCUUUUGGAGAUGUGUCUAGUAAAAAGUUGCUGCAGCUGAGGUCACAAAGGUUGCUGUCCCUGUUCUCUAGAAUUUUGAUGAAUUCCUGUCACACAUUUAGGUCUUUCAUUCAUUUUGAGUCUAUUUUUGUUUAUGGUGUGAGGAAAUGGUCUAGUUUCAUUUUUCUGCAUGUGGCUGUCCAAUUUUCCCAACACCAUUUGUUGAAGAGACUGUUUUUCCCCUAGAUAUUCCUUCCUGCUUUGUCAAAGGUUAGUUGACCAUAGAAUUGAGAAUCCAUUUCUGGGUUCUCUAUUCUGUUCCAUUGAUCUAUAUGUCUGUUUUUGUGUCAGUGCCACACUGUCGUGAUGAUUACAGCUUUGUAAUUGAGCUUGAGGUCUGGAAUUGUGAUGCCACUAGAUUUGGUUUUCUUUUUCAGCAUUCCUUUGGCUAUUUGGGAUCUUUUUUGUUUCCGUACAUAUUUUAGUAUUAUUUGUUCCAACUCUGUGAAAUAAGUUGGUGGUAUUUUGAUAAGGAUUACAUUGAAUGUGUAGAUCACUUUGGGUAGCAUACACAUUUUAACAAUAUCUGUUCUUCCAAUCCAUGAACAUGGAAUGUUUUGCCAUUUCUUUGUUUCUUCCUCAAUUUCUUUCAUGAGUAUUCUAUAGUUUUCUGAGUACAGAUCCUUUGCCUCUUUGGUUAGGUUUAUUCCUAGAUAUCUGAUGGUUUUGGGUGGAAUUGUAAAUGUGAUUGACUCAAUUUCUCUUUCUUCAGUCUCAUUGUUAGUGUAUAGAAAUGCAACUGAUUUCUGUGCAUUGAUUUUAUAUCCUGACAUGUUGCUGAAUUCAUGUAUGGGUUCUAGAAAUUUUGGGGUGGAAUAUUUUGGGUUUUCCAUAUAGAGUACCAUAUCACCUGCAAAGAUGAGAGUUUGGCUUCUUUGCCAAUUUGAAUGUCUUUAUUUCUUUUUUUGUUGUUGUUGUCUGAUUGCUGAGGCUAGGACUUCUAGUACUAUGUUGAAUAGCAUCGGUAAGAAUGGACAUCCUUACCAUGUUCCUGACCUUAGGGGAAAAGCUCUGUUUUUCCCCAUUGAGAAUGAUAUUUGCCGUGGGCUUUUUGUAUAUGGCUUUUAUGACAUUAAGGUAUGUUCCCUCUAUCCUUACACUGUGAAGAUUUUUAACCCAGAAAGGAUGCUGUACCAAUGCUUUCUCUUCAUCA
rnacentral:lncRNA from 1 species